rnacentral:rRNA from 1 species
AUUGAACGCUGGCGGCAGGCCUAACACAUGCAAGUCGAACGGAGUGGCGGACGGGUGAGUAAUGUCUGGGAAAAUGCCUGAUGGAGGGGGAUAACGUCCGGAAACGGGCGAUAAUACCGCAUCAUAUCAGCUGAGCCUAGGUGGGAUUAGCUAGUGGGUGGGGUAAACGCCUACCAAGGAGACGAUCCGUAACAGGUUUGAGAGGAUGAUCAGGACACCUGGAACGUAGACACGGUCCAGACUCCUCCGGGAGGCAGCAGUGGGGAAUAUGGGACAAUGGGCGAAAGCCUGAUCCAGCCAUGCCGCGUGUGUGAAGAAGGUCUUCGGAUUUUAAAGCACUUUAAGUUGGGAGGCGUUACCAACAGAAUAAGCACCGGCUAACUUCGUGCCAGCAGCCGCGGUAAUAC